ACAUGCAGUCGAGCGGACAGAAGGGAGCUUGCUCCCGGAUGUUAGCGGCGGACGGGUGAGUAACACGUGGGUAACCUGCCUGUAAGACUGGGAUAACUCCGGGAAACCGGAGCUAAUACCGGAUAGUUCCUUGAACCGCAUGGUUCAAGGAUGAAAGACGGUUUCGGCUGUCACUUACAGAUGGACCCGCGGCGCAUUAGCUAGUUGGUGAGGUAACGGCUCACCAAGGCGACGAUGCGUAGCCGACCUGAGAGGGUGAUCGGCCACACUGGGACUGAGACACGGCCCAGACUCCUACGGGAGGCAGCAGUAGGGAAUCUUCCGCAAUGGACGAAAGUCUGACGGAGCAACGCCGCGUGAGUGAUGAAGGUUUUCGGAUCGUAAAGCUCUGUUGUUAGGGAAGAACAAGUGCAAGAGUAACUGCUUGCACCUUGACGGUACCUAACCAGAAAGCCACGGCUAACUACGUGCCAGCAGCCGCGGUAAUACGUAGGUGGCAAGCGUUGUCCGGAAUUAUUGGGCGUAAAGGGCUCGCAGGCGGUUUCUUAAGUCUGAUGUGAAAGCCCCCGGCUCAACCGGGGAGGGUCAUUGGAAACUGGGAAACUUGAGUGCAGAAGAGGAGAGUGGAAUUCCACGUGUAGCGGUGAAAUGCGUAGAGAUGUGGAGGAACACCAGUGGCGAAGGCGACUCUCUGGUCUGUAACUGACGCUGAGGAGCGAAAGCGUGGGGAGCGAACAGGAUUAGAUACCCUGGUAGUCCACGCCGUAAACGAUGAGUGCUAAGUGUUAGGGGGUUCCGCCCCUUAGUGCUGCAGCUAACGCAU
rnacentral:rRNA from 1 species